rnacentral:rRNA from 1 species
AUUGAACGCUGGCGGCAUGCUUUACACAUGCAAGUCGAGCGGCAGCGCGGGGGCAACCCUGGCGGCGAGCGGCGAACGGGUGAGUAAUGCAUCGGAACGUAUCCUCUUGUGGGGGAUAACCCACCGAAAGGUGGGCUAAUACCGCAUAAGCUCUGAGGAGGAAAGCGGGGGACCGAAAGGCCUCGCGCUGGAGGAGCGGCCGAUGUCCGAUUAGCUAGUUGGUGAGGUAAAGGCUCACCAAGGCGACGAUCGGUAGCUGGUCUGAGAGGAUGAUCAGCCACACUGGGACUGAGACACGGCCCAGACUCCUACGGGAGGCAGCAGUGGGGAAUUUUGGACAAUGGGGGCAACCCUGAUCCAGCCAUGCCGCGUGAGUGAAGAAGGCC